rnacentral:tRNA from 1 species
CGGAGUGUGGCGCAGUCUGGUAGCGCGGCACGUUAGGGACGUGUGGGUCGCGGGUUCAAAUCCCGCCACUCCGA